GUUGAUUCUGCCGGACCCGACUGCUAUCAGAGUGGGACUAAGCCAUGCGAGUCAACAUAGCAAUAUGUGGCAUACGGCUCAGUAACACGUAGUCAACAUGCCCAGGGGACGUGGAUAACCUCGGGAAACUGAGGAUAAACCGCGAUAAGUCACUACUUCUGGAAUGGGUAAUGACUUAAAUCUAUAUGGCCCCUGGAUUGGACUGCGGCCGAUCAGGCUGUUGGUGAGGUAAUGGCCCACCAAACCUGUAACCGGUACGGGCUCUGAGAGGAGGAGCCCGGAGAUGGGCACUGAGACAAGGGCCCAGGCCCUAUGGGGCGCAGCAGGCGCGAAACCUCUGCAAUAGGCGAAAGCCUGACAGGGUUACUCUGAGUGAUUUCCGUUAAGGAGAUCUUUUGGCACCUCUAAAAAUGGUGCAGAAUAAGGGGUGGGCAAGUCUGGUGUCAGCCGCCGCGGUAAUACCAGCACCCCGAGUGGUCGGGACGUUUAUUGGGCCUAAAGCAUCCGUAGCCGGUUCUGCAAGUCUUCCGUUAAAUCCACCUGCUUAACAGAUGGGCCGCGGAAGAUACUAUAGAGCUAGGAGGCGGGAGAGGCAAGCGGUACUCGAUGGGUAGGGGUAAAAUCCGUUGAUCCAUUGAAGACCACCAGUGGCGAAGGCGGCUUGCCAGAACGCGCUCGACGGUGAGGGAUGAAAGCUGGGGGAGCAAACCGGAUUAGAUACCCGGGUAGUCCCAGCUGUAAACGAUGCAGACUCGGUGAUGAAUUGGCUUUAUGCCUAUUCAGUGCCGCAGGGAAGCCGUUAAGUUUGCCGCCUGGGGAGUACGGUCGCAAGACUGAAACUUAAAGGAAUUGGCGGGGGAGCACCACAAGGGGUGAAGCCUGCGGUUCAAUUGGAGUCAACGCCGGG
rnacentral:rRNA from 1 species